CAGCAGCCGCGGUAAUACGUAGGGUGCAAGCGUUGUCCGGAAUUAUUGGGCGUAAAGAGCUCGUAGGCGGUUUGUUGCGUCGGCUGUGAAAUCCCGAGGCUCAACCUCGGGUCUGCAGUCGAUACGAGCAAACUAGAGUGUUGCAGGGGAGACUGGAAUUCCUGGUGUAGCGGUGAAAUGCGCAGAUAUCAGGAGGAACACCGGUGGCGAAGGCGGGUCUCUGGGCAACAACUGACGCUGAGGAGCGAAAGCGUGGGGAGCGAACAGGAUUAGAUACCCUGGUAGUCCACGCCGUAAACGUUGGGCGCUAGGUGUGGGGCUCAUUCCACGAGUUCCGUGCCGCAGCUAACGCAUUAAGCGCCCCGCCUGGGGAGUACGGCCGCAAGGCUAAAACUCAAAGGAAUUGACGG
rnacentral:rRNA from 1 species